UGUAUCGUCCCCACCACCCACCCAAUCUGUGGCACAUAGUUCCCCCAGUCGAAACGAAUCAUUGAUCCCAGAAAGUAACGUGUUUGUACUGCUGCGCCCUGUUUUGGCGCCACCGCUACCAGGUGACGCGGCAGGAUUUCCCCCCGACGGUUAGCGGCAACCAGGCCGAGCGUGCUACAAAAGCUUUAAGGCUGGCUGCUCGCCGUACUCUGAGGCAUUUGCUGCCAUCCAGAAGCCUGAAGCACGAGUGUGAAGCGCGAAGCCCACUGCUGCAUACUCCCUGCACUCACUUCACAAUGAAGACAGCCUUGCUAGUUUUCUGCCUUGGGGUCUUUGCCUUCGCUACUUUGGCGGACAUGACAGCAGCCUACAAAGUGACCCAUUUCGAUAUAGGUCUUGGAUGUCCAAAGUCCUUGCUGACUUGUUCACAAGCAUGCCGAAGCACUUAUGGUCAUCAAGGUGGAUAUUGCAAUGGGCCGUUCAACAUCGUCUGCACCUGUACCUGACCGGGCUUCAAAAGAUUUUGUUACGUUGCCUCACCAUUCGUGUUCACAUUUUCCUGCUAGCAGCCCAAGAUGCCCGAGUGAAAAUUUUCGCUCAUCAUGCUAACAGAUUGUGCCUGAUGUAAUGAAGCGUGUACCUCGACGCAGUGUACCAUUACAAAUACGCACUUCCUUCUCUGUUACAUCGUUGGUAUUUUUCUAUAAGUUAUAUUAUCUCCCCAUUCACUUUCUUCUGAAUAAAAGUUUAUUGUUGCAAGUUAGUUUUAUCGUCUGAAAGAUUUUUGAGUCGAGCUCUUGUUAUGCUUGUGUGAUAUACGAGCACAUUCGUGAAAAUUGUUUCGUUUAUCGGACUGCAUAGAUACAUUUUUACUAGCUAUGUUUUUAUUAUCUAAUGCGACGUACUCUUUUGUAGCUUCGUUGUAUACAUUUAUUUUCUUUGGAGAGCUUUGUUUUCAUACCCAGAUAUUUGGGAUAUAUGCUAUAUAAAAUAUAGCUUGCUCAUUGUCUCAGUAAGAAAUAGCAACCAGUGAAAACGCCUGUAAUUCGUUGAAUAAACCGAGUAUGUUUCAUUGAACAACGCGAAUGAAACAAUCAGCAGUACUUGAAUUAUUCGUGAGUGCACUGUGUAACUUUACCUCGCACUUGAAUAUUCAAAUGAGUGAGCUAGAUUUUACGUAUAUAUUUACAAAUGCCGUAGAGACAAUCUCAACGUUACUUUUAAACACUACGUGAAAUCAUAGAGAUGGAAUAUUCGUUAUAAAAGCACUAG